GGUUACUAUACUUACUUCUCUGGAAGCAAGAUUAAUUCGAUUUGAUGUAAACACUUUUAUACUGACUUCGUGGUAUGGAAUGAUUUAAUUACUUCGGUAAUAACAAUCAAUGAAAUUGUGUAUAUAUUGUGGUAUUUAAAAUGAUUUUACAUUGUAUAUGAUGGUCCUUGGUCUUGAAGAAAGACCCAUUAUAUAUGUGAAAUAUAAAAGAAAAAUACAUGUAUAAAUAAAAUCACCUUACAAUUUG
rnacentral:misc_RNA from 1 species